rnacentral:rRNA from 1 species
UACGUAGGGUGCAAGCGUUUGUCCGGAAUUAUUGGGCGUUAAAGAGCUCGUAGGCGGUUUUGUGCGUCGGCUGUGAAAUCCCGAGGCUCAACCUCGGGUCUGCAGUCGAUACGAGCAAACUAGAGUGUUGCAGGGGAGACUGGAAUUCCUGGUGUCAGCGGUGAAAUGCGCAGAGUAUCAGGAGGAACACCGGUGGCGAAGGCGGGUCUCUGGGCAACAACUGACGCUGGAGGAGCGAAAGCGUCGGGGAGCGAACAGG